AUUGAACGCUGGCGGCAUGCUUUACACAUGCAAGUCGAACGGCAGCGGGGGCUUCGGCCUGCCGGCGAGUGGCGAACGGGUGAGUAAUGCAUCGGAACGUGCCCAUGUCGUGGGGGAUAACUACGCGAAAGCGUGGCUAAUACCGCAUACGCCCUGAGGGGGAAAGCGGGGGAUCUUUCGGGACCUCGCGCGAUUGGAGCGGCCGAUGUCGGAUUAGCUAGUUGGUGGGGUAAAGGCUCACCAAGGCGACGAUCCGUAGCUGGUCUGAGAGGAUGAUCAGCCACACUGGGACUGAGACACGGCCCAGACUCCUACGGGAGGCAGCAGUGGGGAAUUUUGGACAAUGGGCGCAAGCCUGAUCCAGCCAUGCCGCGUGAGUGAAGAAGGCCUUCGGGUUGUAAAGCUCUUUCGGCCGGGAAGAAAUCGCAUUCUCUAAUAUAGGAUGUGGAUGACGGUACCGGACUAAGAAGCACCGGCUAACUACGUGCCAGCCGCCGCUGUAAAAC
rnacentral:rRNA from 1 species